rnacentral:lncRNA from 1 species
UAAAGUUAACUUAAAAAAGAAAAGAAAAGAAAGAAAGCUCAUGUCCUUGGCUGAUGAGCGUGGAGAAGACCUUGGGAUGGUUUUCAGAGAGACGGAAGCCUUAGCACAGGCCUGCUGCUGCACGCUUCGGGCCUAAGGAGGAAUCACAUUUCUCCGUGCUUCUGCUUCCGAGGACAAUAUUAGGUAAACUGAGAGGCAGAAAGAGAAUUCCAGAGUCGGGCAGAGUUACGGAUAGAAGAGCUUCAAGUUUCAGGCUGGAAGCGACCUUCACAGACUAUCUUAUCCCUAAUCGGACUGCCAGGUGGGGCCACGUAGAAUGCAGCCCUGUUUCUUAGGUCUGCCGUGUUCUCCUCCGAAGUGUUCUCGUUGAGAAGGUAAACUUGCUUAAAUACCUUUCCUUUUUUUUUUCUUUUUUCUUUUUUUCCCUUCUUUUGUCUUUUCAGGGCUGCACCUGCAAUAUAUGGAAGUUCCCAAGCCACGGGUUGAAUGAGAUCUGCAGCUGCCAGCCUACAUCACAGCCACAGCAACACCAGAUCUGAGCUGCAUCUGCGACUUACACCUGAGCUUGCGGCAACACCGAAUCCUUAACCCACUGAACAAGGCCAGGGAUUGAACUCCCAUCCCUGUGGAUACCAGUUGGGUUCUUCACCCACUGAGCCACAACGGGAACUCCUCAAAUAUUUUUCAGUGACAAAUUCUUGACCACAUUCCAUACUUAUUCUCACUGAAAAUUCCAGAUGAAUGGUUUUACUUUUUCUUGGAGUUAAUAUUUGCUAUUCUUGAAAUAAUGGACAUUAAUACUAUUAUAAUUACUUUCAACAAAACAAACCAAACAGGGCGACCAGAGCAAGACUUGAGGGCCUCUUGGACAAAGCUUCCUCACCCUGGCACGCUGGCCC